rnacentral:piRNA from 1 species
UAGGUGACAUUUUUGUGCCCUGUUGUGGUGU